ACUUGAGUGUGGUAGAGCAGAACAGAAGGGAAGGAGGAAGGGAAAGGAUUUUUGCUGGGGAGAGAAGAGACCUUCCAACAUCCCCACUUAGAAGCCUCUCCAACAUUCCAUGAGUGUGGAAAGGAAGGCUGAGACCCAGAAAGGGAGCAUGACUGUCAAAGUUAUACAGAGACCCCAUGACAGUGGCACACAUGCAGGACCAGGGCAAGUGGAGACAUUCCUUCACACGCACUGCGGCAGAGAACCCUCAGGAACUCCGGACUCCCCCAUGCUCCCCUGGGACCAUCAGACCAAGCCCUACCCUCCACAGGCCCGAAACCACCACAGGAGACAAGCAAGAGGACACUUAACCUCCGGAGCCUGUAUGAAGAUCGUUUGGACUAAAAUGUCAAAACAGAGUUAGAUUAGUUUGCUAGAGCCUCUGUAACAAAGUACCACAGAUCGUGCAGCUUAAACAUGGAAAAACGCUGUCUCACAAUUCUGGGGGCUGGAAGUCCAGGAUCAAGGUGUCAGCAGGGCUGGUUCCUGCAGAGAGCCUGGAGGGGAGGGUCUUCCCCACGCCUCUCUCCUUGGCUUGCAUGUGGCCGAUUCCCCCUGUGUCUCUCCAUGUCAUCUUUUCUCUGUAAGUAUCUGUGUUCAAACUUCCCCCUUUCUAUGAGGACACCAGUCAAACUGGAUCAGGCCCCACCCCGAUGACCUGGUUUUAACUUUCUCACCUCUGUGAAAGCUCUGUUCCCAAAGCAGGUCACAUUUUAAAGUACUGGGGGUCAGGAGUUCAACACAGGAAUGUGGGGGGCACACUUCAAACCACAGCACGGGUAAAACUUAAUUGUGCUUUUGUUUUGUUUUCUGCCAGUGCUGGGGGGUGGGAGAAGUUGGAAUGGAAGUCGUAAGGAAGACCAGAUCAGCUACAGACAAAGCAAUUACAUUUUCUUCACACACUCAAAUUGCAGCAAGCAUUCAACGUGCAACCCCAAUACAUAAUUUAAGCAGAUUUGUGCAGCCUCCUGAAACAAUAGCGUGGAUUAGGCACGGCCCCCAGAGAUAACAAAGCAAGUUGCAGUCUUGUAGCUCCAGUAAAAGGGGGGAAAAAAUGGAAUAAAACAUUACCACAGUGAGAGCUAGCAACUUUAGGGA
ensembl:lncRNA